UCCUCCCUCAAACUUCGUUUGGUGUUGGACCGCGUUGGUCGAGCGACCAACUGGUCUCAAAGACAAUGACGGCGUCCGUGGGACCCUCGGUGCAACGAGCUUCUAAGGAGCACGCGUCGAGUUUCAAGGACCCUCCGGGCCGGUCUUGACCUCUAUCUUCUCAA
rnacentral:misc_RNA from 1 species